rnacentral:lncRNA from 1 species
AAAUUACCAACAAUUAUAAAAAAUAAUUAUCAAAAUAAUUACCACCGAGCAGUGACCACAUAGUAGAUCUGUAGUAACGAGCGAGUGAGGAACAAAAUUACCAACAAUUAUCAAAAAAUAAUUUAUCAAAAAAUAAUUAUAAAAAAGAUCACAUGCGGGAGAGAGUGCUGGAGUGAUCUGCAGUCAAGGGAGAGAGUGUUGGAGGAGGAAGUGGAGUGUACUGAGGGAGGGAGAGACAGAGAUGGCUGUGCUGAGGAAGGGAGAGAGGGAAACCCUUGAUUUGCUGUCAAGGCUUCUGCACCGACAUUAUCUUCUCUCCUUUGUAUCACAACUACCUCAACGUCUCAGUGUGUUGAGGGAGGGAGAGAGGGAUGAUGCUGUGCUAAAGGAGGGAGAGAGGG